rnacentral:rRNA from 1 species
GAUGAACGCUGGCGGCGUGCUUAACACAUGCAAGUCGAACGGAAAGACCCGGUGUUCUUUUUUCUGGUGUUGGACGCGGGCGGGUAACUAACGAGUGGGUCACCUGUCUUUUGGUCCCGGAUAACUUCCAGUAAUAGUAGCUAAUAUCGGAUAACAUUUAGAACCGCAUGGUUAUAAAUUGUAUGUUGGUUUUGCUUUUACUUAUAGCUGGUCCCGUGCCGGCUUAGCAGGUUGGUAGGGGAAUGGCAUACCAAGGCGACGGUGCGUAGCUGACCUGCGAGGGUGAUCGGCCACACUGGAACUGAGACACGGACCAGACUCCUACGGGAGGCAGCAGUAGGGAAUGGUAGGCAAUGGGCGAAAGCCUGACCGAGCAACGCCGCGUGCGUGAAGAAGGGGUUCGGGUUGUGAACCUCUGUUGUUAGGGACGAACAGGUGUCCACGUAGCUGGAGAGGUGGUGACGGUACCUGAAGAAGAAGCAACGGCUAACUACGUG